GUAGGUGGCAAGCGUUGUCCGGAAUUAUUGGGCGUAAAGCGCGCGCAGGCGGUUCUUUAAGUCUGAUGUGAAAGCCCACGGCUCGACCGUGGAGGGUCAUUGGAAACUGGAGAACUUGAGUACAGAAGAGGAAAGCGGAAUUCCACGUGUAGCGGUGAAAUGCGUAGAGAUGUGGAGGAACACCAGUGGCGAAGGCGGCUUUCUGGUCUGUAACUGACGCUGAGGCGCGAAAGCGUGGGGAGCAAACAGGGAUUAGAUACCCUGGUAGUCCACGCCGUAAACGAUGAGUGCUAAGUGUUAGGGGGUUUCCGCCCCCUUAGUGCUGCAGCUAACGCAUUAAGCACUCCGCCUGGGGAGUACGGCCGCAAGGCUG
rnacentral:rRNA from 1 species